AUACGGAGGGUGCAAGCGUUAUCCGGAUUCAUUGGGUUUAAAGGGUUCGCAGGCGGCGUAUUAAGUCAGUGGUGAAAUCCCGAGGCUCAACCUCGGAACUGCCAUUGAUACUGGUAUGCUAGAGUAUAGUUGGCGUUGGCGGAAUGUAUCAUGUAGCGGUGAAAUGCUUAGAUAUGAUACAGAACACCGAUCGCGAAGGCAGCUAACGAAACUAUAACUGACGCUCAGGAACGAAAGCGUGGGGAGCGAACAGGAUUAGAUACCCCAGUAGUCC
rnacentral:rRNA from 1 species